rnacentral:Y_RNA from 1 species
GGCUGGUCCAAAGGUAGUGAAUUAUCUCACUUGAUUGUUCACAGUCAGUUACAAAUUGAACUCCUUGUUCUACUACUUUCCCCCGUCCUCACUACUGCACUUGACUAGUCUAAU